rnacentral:rRNA from 1 species
GAUGAACGCUGGCGGCGUGCCUAAUACAUGCAAGUCGAGCGAACAGACGAGGAGCUUGCUCCUCUGACGUUAGCGGCGGACGGGUGAGUAACACGUGGAUAACCUACCUAUAAGACUGGGAUAACUUCGGGAAACCGGAGCUAAUACCGGAUAAUAUAUUGAACCGCAUGGUUCAAUAGUGAAAGACGGUUUUGCUGUCACUUAUAGAUGGAUCCGCGCCGCAUUAGCUAGUUGGUGAGGUAACGGCUUACCAAGGCAACGAUGCGUAGCCGACCUGAGAGGGGGAUCGGCCGCACUGGAAGUGAGACACGGUCCAGACUCCUACGGGAGGCAGCAGUAGGGAAUCUUCCGCAAUGGGCGAAAGCCUGACGGAGCAACGCCGCGUGAGUGAUGAAGGUCUUCGGAUCGUAAAACUCUGUUAUUAGGGAAGAACAAAUGUGUAAGUAACUAUGCACGUCUUGACGGUACCUAAUCAGAAAGCCACGGCUAACUACGUG